rnacentral:rRNA from 1 species
UACAGAGGUCUCAAGCGUUGUUCGGAUUCAUUGGGCGUAAAGGGUGCGUAGGCGGCGCGGUAAGUCGGGUGUGAAAUUUCGAGGCUUAACUUCGAAACUGCAUUCGAUACUGCCGUGCUUGAGGACUGGAGAGGAGACUGGAAUUUACGGUGUAGCGGUGAAAUGCGUAGAUAUCGUAAGGAAGACCAGUGGCGAAGGCGGGUCUCUGGACAGUUCCUGACGCUGAGGCACGAAGGCUAGGGGAGCAAACGGG